GUCAGGAGAAACUUCCCACUCUGAGUCCUUCAUGACCCAGUGUGGAGUAGAUGGAAAUAGUAAGGAUCCAUGCUAAUAGUGGGCUCCUGCACUGACUCCAGGAUCUUCUUUCAGUGGGCAAGGGAUGCCUUCUGCAUGUACGAGUCAUUGUCUACCCUACAAAGACUUUGUUUCUGCUUCGUGAUCAAAUUUUUGUCUCUUUUCCAUAGUGGAAAUGAUCUAUCCACUUAGAAACUGCAAGUUAUGAAGUCUCCACCAAGGGGGGAAAAGUAGCAUCUGAACUGUCGCUGUGAAGAAAUUGUUUGCAGAUUCUGAUUCAGCACAUCAGGCCAGGUGUCUGAGCGACUGCAUUUCUCGAAAGCUCCCAGAGAUGUGCUGUGGCUGCUUUGUGUCCCAUCAUCCCCUGAGGAGCAGCUCUGAAUCAGUUCACUCACCAUCUUGGUCCCCACAAUUCCCACAGUUUUGAAAGAAAGCCAAGACCCUGGAACUGUAGCUCUCACAAUUUCUGAUACAUCUAAAUCACCUUGAAGGCUCAUUUUAGAAUGCAAAUUCCAAGGCCUUGACCUGGAAGAUUCUGAUUCACCACUGCUACUUCCCUGCAUGCCUAGACCUAAGCCUGGCUGUAGCACAGCUAUGCCAUCAGGUCCUCCCAGCUCCUGAGCCUGUCCUCCGGCCAUACCCCUUUGCUUGCAAAAAGCCUGAUUUGGUGGCCUUCUUCUCUUUGAAUGUCCUUUGCUGGUUCUCAUGAUUGUCUAGUUUUUUAUCUCUGCUCAGAUGUCUCUUCCUCAGAGGGGUUUUCCCUGACCACAGUCUAAGGUAAUGCUUUCUGCCACAGUCACUGUCCCUGUGCUUUCUUGCCUUCCUUCCCAGUUCCUGUUACUCUCUGGAAUAAUCUUGUCCCUGCAUCUGCUUAUUGGUUUGCUGUCUGUCUUCCAUGGCAACAGGAACUUUACCUGCCUUGUUUUCCACACUGAAUUCUCAGUACCUAGCACAGUGCUGGAGAACUGAAUGAAUGAAUGAAUGCACCCUAGUGGAGAAAGAAGGUGUAAAGUAAACAGUGACAUGAAUUCUGGCCUUGGAAAUUUAAGACUUCAGAGUGAAGCAGAAGUGAGCAUCUCAUGAACAAAGGAUCCUAAGAAUAGAAAAGGAUUCAUCAUGAUUCCUUCAGGGUGUGGAAGAAAAUUAAGUUAGGAAUAGAAGAUGUAGAAUACAAAAUUCAUUGUCCUUCCUCUGUAUUUCAUUUUAAAAUGAUAAAAAUAUAUGUUCCUGGUAGGCAAUUUGGGAAAACAGAAAAAUUUAAGAAAGUAUAUACCACAUUAACUGACCACCCAUGGGUAACUUUGGUUUUCAUUUUUGUGUUUUUCCUUUUAAAUUAUUGUAAAUGUUUUCAAAUAUGUGUGUCUUAUAUACACAUAUAUAUGGCACAUAUACUUUCAUGUUCUGCUCUUUUAUUAUUUCACAUUAUAGGAUGAGCAUAUUCUUGUACCUACAAAGUGCCU
rnacentral:lncRNA from 1 species